rnacentral:rRNA from 1 species
AACGGCGGCCGUAACUAUAACGGUCCUAAGGUAGCGAAAUUCCUUGUCGGGUAAGUUCCGACCUGCACGAAUGGCGUAAUGAUGGCCAGGCUGUCUCCACCCGAGACUCAGUGAAAUUGAACUCGCUGUGAAGAUGCAGUGUACCCGCGGCAAGACGGAAAGACCCCGUGAACCUUUACUACAGCUUGACACUGAACAUUGAGCCUUGAUGUGUAGGAUAGGUGGGAGGCUUUGAAGCGUGGACGCCAGUCUGCGUGGAGCCAACCUUGAAAUACCACCCUUUAAUGUUUGAUGUUCUAACCUGGCGCCGUGAUCCGGCGUGGGGACAGUGUCUGGUGGGUAGUUUGACUGGG